AUGUUCAGGAGGUGGAUCUGGAAGGAUGUGGGCGAGGGCAUGGGUGAGGACUCAGCGACGGCAGCAGGUGGCAGCGAUCCGCGGGCUGGCAACGUAGAGGAGGACGCCUCACAGCUCAUCUUUCCUAAAGAGUUUGAAACAGCUGAGACACUUCUAAAUUCAGAAGUUCAUAUGCUUCUGGAACGUCGAAAGCAGAAGAAUGAGAGUGCAGAGGAUGAACAGGAACUCUCAGAAGUCUUCAUGGAAACGUUAAACUACACAGCCCGUUUCAGUCGUUUCAAAAACAGAGAGACCAUUGCCCGUGUUCGUAGCUUGCUACUCCCGAAGAAACUUCACAAGUUGGAGUUGGCCUGUGUGGCCAACCUUUGCCCAGAGACUGCUGAGGAGUCCAAGGCUCUAAUCCCAAGCUUGGAGGGACGGUUUGAAGAUGAGGAGCUGCAGCAGAUUCUUGAUGAUAUCCAGACAAAGCGCAGCUUUCAGUAUUAAUCUCCAAACAUCGCUGCUGCUCGGAGAAAUCGCGUCCCCAGGGGUAACACCUUCCCAGGCUCUGGGGCUGACUUGCAUGGAAAUGCUGUUGCGGAGGACAGUUGAGAAUUCCUUUGGAGAAAACAGCCCAGCUUGGCGUGGCAUUAGGUUGCUGUUUCAAAUAACUCAUAGGCCCAGGACAUGGAAUCUUGGAGCAGCCUUGUGCAGUGGCUGCCAGUGGCUUCCUGAACGUGCCUCUGGAAAGUGUGAGAUGGGGCCACACUAUUGACUACCUCAUUCAUGGUUUUUGGCCUCCACAUCAUCUUUUUUCUUAAUAUUUCAUGUUUUAAUUUCAGUGCAUUUAUACUUUUUGAAACUAGACCAGAAUAUAGUAGACUUUAUAGAGAAAGACCAGUUUCACCUAGAUGCUAAAGGAAGAAUUAAACCACUGUUAUUGUUUGAAAUGCUUUUUUUUUCUUUUCUUUUCUUUUAAAUGGAGAUAGGGUCUUAACUCUUACCCAGGCUGGAGGAGUGUAGUCAUACAGUCAUGGCUCACUGAGCCUGGACCCCCCUGCCUCAGCCUCCCAAAUAACUGGGGCCAAAGGUGUGCACCACCACUCUCAGCUAAUUUUUAAAAUUUUUUAUAGAGAUGGGGUGUUACUGUGCUGCCUAGACUGGUCUUAAACUCCUAGGCUCAAGUGAUCCCCCUGCCUUGGCCUCCCAAACUGGUGCGAUUACAGGCAUGAGCCACCACACCUGGCCUGAAAUUCUGAAGGGAUGAGAGUGUCAACAGAGCACGUUGGCAUCAUUGUGGCUAACCUGGGAGGCGGAAGAAGCAUGCCAUGGCCAUGGGCAGUGUUGACAAGUAUUGUGGAACUCAUAGUCCCUUGAGGUAGAUGGCUACUUUGCCUUUCUUCUUGAACUGUCUUGCAGAAUGUGGAUGUGGGGUGAGUGGUCUUGAAGGGCUCAUUUAGUCACCCUCAAAUUAAGAUUUUUACUUCAUCUUUCUUGGGCCUACACCUCCAAGAUAAGAAGCAGUGGUCAUGCCAAAGAGGCUCGCAAGUAGGUGUGCGCUGUUCACUGCAGCCUAUUUGUUGCAUGAACUGUGGUCGUUGUGUGCCCAAUGACAAGGCUAUUAAGAAGUUCAUCAUUUGAAAUGUAGAGGCCACAGCAGUCAGCGAUGGUUCUGAAGUGAGCAUCCUUGAAGCCUGUGUACUUCCCAGGCUGGAUGUGAAGCUACAUUACUGUGUGAGUUGUGCCACUCACAGCACGGUAGUCAGGAAUCGAGCUCAUGAAGCCCACAAGGACCGAACACCUCCACCCCAGUGUAGACCUGCAGGUACUGCCCCAUGCCCCCACCAAAGCCCAUAUAAGGAGUGGAGUUGUUAAGGACUGAAGAAAAACUAUUCUCUGGAGAAAAAUAAAAUUGCAAUU